CCUACGGGAGGCAGCAGUGAGGAAUAUUGGUCAAUGGGCGGGAGCCUGAACCAGCCAAGUCGCGUGAGGGAAGACGGUCCUAUGGAUUGUAAACCUCUUUAGGCGGGGAGCAAUGCCGGGCACGUGUGCCCGGAGGGAGAGUACCCGCAGAAUAAGCAUCGGCUAACUCCGUGCCAGCAGCCGCGGUAAUACGGAGGAUGCGAGCGUUAUCCGGAUUUAUUGGGUUUAAGGGGUGCGUAGGCGGAUUUUUAAGUCAGCGGUAAAAUGUCCGGGCUCAACCCGGGCCGGCCGUUGAAACUGGGGAGCUUGAGUGGGCGAGAAGUAUGCGGAAUGCGUGGUGGAGCGGUGAAAUGCAUAGAUAUCACGCAGAACUCCGAUUGCGAAGGCAGCAUACCGGCGCCCGACUGACGCUGAGGCACGAAAGCGUGGGGAUCGAACAGGAUUAGAUACCCGAGUAGUC
rnacentral:rRNA from 1 species